CAUUUUUCACAACUUUUUAGGGUGUUCCUCAGACCUUUUCUACCCAACUAACAAGAACAAAAAACAACGACAACAAAGUAGUUUGUAGGCUUACUCCCCAAUAAGCAACAAUUCUUUCCUUUAAUUAACCUAUUCACUUUCUCUUUUCCUUUGGUACCAAAGACUUUAACAAUAUCUAAUAAUACUAACUCUGAAAUGGUAAACCCUACUUGCUGGUGUUGACAAAAUUAGGCUGUAUUUUGAAAUUGCACUGUUAUCCAAAGUGAUACAGUGAUACAGCUUUACCUUAACAAUCUUUCUCUUAAAAAGUUAUGAAAUAUUACUUAAUGGCAUAAAUUGUUUAGAAAAUUCCCUGUUAUAACUUAUCAACGUAAAAGGAGUUUGAUAAUAUAUCUCAAAAAUGCUUUGAUUUCCAUUUUUACCACUGGAUUAAGGUAUUCAGUUACAACUUGUUUUCUUGUCAAUCAUAAAAGAAUAGUUUUAAUUUUAUUCCAGUUUGUUCAUUUUAGAUUAAGCUAAAUUUGUGCUAGCACAGGUAUUGCUUCAGAGCACCCUUAAUUUUACUGUAUCUCAUCCGUGUCAUAGUUGAGACGAUGUUGAUAGCGGUUACAUUCCUCUUUUAUGUUAUUGAUGUAAGUUCCACAUCUGGAAUUAUCCCAGAUUCAAAUUUUAUUAUUUCCAGUACAGAAAGAAGGGAAUGAAAAGCCUUUCCCGUACCGGGAAUCGAACCUGGGCCUCGCAGGUGAGAGCCACGUAUCCUAGCCACUAGACCACACAAGACUUGCUCAUUAACAUUUAACACAAAAAAUUCUUUCCUUUUAUUAACAUACUCAAUUCCUCUUUUCCUUUGGUACCAAAACUAUAAACAAUAUUUAAUGAUACUAACUCUGAAAAGCUAAUGUCUACUUGCUAGUGUUGACAAUAUUAUGUUGAAUUUUAUAAUUAGACAGUUAUAAAAAAUGUUAUAUAGAUAGUUGUGAAUUACAAAACAUUCAUGUUCAAUAAGGAUGUAAUAUUCCUUAAUGGUAGAAAACUAAUUUGCAAAUGUCUUAUGACUCAAUUUAUCAAUUUAACAGGCUAGUUUGAUAGGGCUUCUAAUUCUUAGUCAAGAAUUCCAGGAUAAAUUCAAAGACCACAGACCCCAACUUCUAGUUUGUUUACUGUCAUAACUUAGGAUAUUAAGCUCUCCAAUUCUCUUCGAAGAAGCCAAGACCAUCAGGAAAAAUGUAUUCAGUCAUAUUCUUGACUGACGAUUGUAGUAGUGGCUCUAAUGGCGCUCAAGUGAGACUACUCAGGACCAGAUAUGCACUUUAGUGAAUGAAAAGGCUUUCCCGUACCGGGAAUCGAACCCGGGCCUCGCGGGUGAGAGCCGCGUAUCCUAGCCACUAGACCACACGGGACAUGCUCAUUAACAUUUAACACAAAAUAAAGCGUGAUCCGACCUCCAGCUUAGUCGUAUGCACUUUAGUGAAUGAAAAGGCUUUCCCGUACCGGGAAUCGAACCCAGGCCUC